rnacentral:rRNA from 1 species
CCUACGGUGCGCAGCAGUCGAGAAUCAUUCACAAUGGGGGAAACCCUGAUGGUGCGACGCCGCGUGGGGGAAUGAAGGUCUUCGGAUUGUAAACCCCUGUCAUGUGGGAGCAAAUUAAAAAGAUAGUACCACAAGAGGAAGAGACGGCUAACUCUGUGCCAGAAGCCGCGGUAAUACAGAGGUCUCAAGCGUUGUUCGGAAUCACUGGGCGUAAAGCGUGCGUAGGCUGUUUCGUAAGUCGUGUGUGAAAGGCGCGGGCUCAACCCGCGGACGGCACAUGAUACUGCGAGACUAGAGUAAUGGAGGGGGAACCGGAAUUCUCGGUGUAGCAGUGAAAUGCGUAGAGAUCGAGAGGAACACUCGGGGCGAAGGCGGGUUCCUGGACAUUAACUGACGCUGAGGCACGAAGGCCAGGGGAGCGAAAGGGAUUAGAUACCCCAGUAGUC